GACGGAGGAUGCAAGCGUUAUCCGGAAUUAUUGGGCGUAAAGCGUACGUAGGCGGCUUAUCAAGUCUGGGGUCAAAGACCACAGCUUAACUGUGGAAAGGCCUUUGAAACUGGUGAGCUGGAGUGAGGAAGGGGUUGCGGGAAUUCCCGGUGUAGCGGUGAAAUGCGUAGAUAUCGGGAAGAACACCUGAGGCGAAAGCGCGCUACUGGGCCUUAACUGACGCUGAGGUACGAAAGCUAGGGGAGCGAAUGGG
rnacentral:rRNA from 1 species